CGUUGAGAUCUUGGAAUGUCUUCUCAAAUCCUUCCUGACACUGACAUGUUGCUACUGGGACUAAUGGUGGCUCAAGACACACGCCAUUCCAACACCCGCUGACAGCGCAGGAGACGGCUGAAAGCUCUGUGUACAGUUACGGGCUGCCAGAACGGCGUGUGUCUGGGACCCCCCUUUCUCGCCACUCCGGUGUGUCUGUGUAACCCUGGAUUUACAUAUUCCACACUGGAUGCAAAUAUCUGUGAAGAUUUUGACGAGUGCAAGAUUGCCUACGGGACCAUCUGUAACCAAGGCCGUUGUGUCAAUCAGCCGGGCAGCUUCAGCUGUCAGUGUUACCCUGGAUACGUCCCUCGUUUCAACAACACAGUCUGCGACUAUCCAACAAAACAACAACGACAACAACAACAGGGACAACAGCAACAGCCCAGCUCUCUCACGACUCUUUUGCAAUACCUUUCAUUUAAUGAAUUGGUGAACUGAAGCUGAUAAUAUCCACUGUUGGGCACGUGAAUCAUGCCACACAUCUAUCAAAAUAAUAAAACCCAAGCAGAAAUGAGUUUCAGUUCUGUUUCAACAAAUCCAGGAGAGAA